ensembl:lncRNA LINC02649 long intergenic non-protein coding RNA 2649
UCAUCUCUUGGAGGGGUCCUGAUUAGGCGGACAGGCUUCUGUGUGGAGGGCUGGAAAGCUUGGCUGAACUUUUCGGUAAAGAACACAGAGAUAUGGAGUUACCAGUAAGGAGCUCCACCGUGACUCUCCUCCCUGCUCCGUUGCCCCGACGAGGAAGUGUGAAAACGUUUCUGGCUCCAUCCAAGAGUUACUUCCCUGAAGAAGAGAGGGCUUUGUUGAAGUCUUCCCAUGCUUUCUGCACAGGGCUCUGGCCUUGGAGAAGGGAUUUCCAGUUACCGCAGUGUCACUUGGCCCUGGGUCUCCUCCCGGGAGAGAGAAGUGUACGGCUCCCAAGGUUCCUGGCAGUUUUGAAAGAGCUCUCAGCCACAGCCAGCUUUACUUUGGCAAGUGAGGCCAUCCCCUUUCUUUCCUCCUUUCCUUUCCCAUGGAACCUACUCCUUCCAUCUGUCUUUCAAGCUCUGCCUCAGAAAUGGCAAUUCAAGGCUGAUUUUCUCCUUGAAUGCACUCUCUCUGUGAAAGAGGCUUUUCACCAAGAAUGUGGUGCUGGUGUUUCUCUUGCCAAUGGGCUAAACAAAGGCCUCCGCACCGGGUAACAUUUGGGCAGGCCUCUUCACACAUGCCUGUCCUUCUCCGUCGCACUUGGCUAAAGCCAACAACCUAUGUGUGAAAAGUAUAAAGAGAUGGAAAAAUUCCCAUGAAAAAUCCUUCCGCAAAGCAAUUGCGAGACAACUAUGGCGUCAUCUGAUAACAUGAUUUCUAUUUUGCAUCUGUUCCAUUGUUGGAGGGCACUCAUAGUUGCAAGCCUUGCAUGUACAUAUGUAAAAAUUAUAAGUGAAUGCAUCUGCUCAGGUUAUUAGCCACUGAUUGUGAAAUAAUCUGAAGUUUGAGAGUCUCAGUUAAUAACCUAUAGGUGCUGAGAGCAUUCAAAGACCCAAUAGCAUAAGUAUUAAUCACCUCUUUUCUCCAGAGUAGCAAAUAAGAAACCAGGAAGAGCUCAGUUUCACUUCCAACUUGUUCUUUAAGGGCCUCAGAGUUGAUAGUUGUCCUCAUCUGGGCUCCCUAAUGCCACGACAAAUCAACUAGAAAAGAAAUAUGCCCCAAAUCAGCACCCAAACACGCUGGUGCCAGCCUGUGUCCAUGUUCCUGCAACAGCUGCUGCCCACGGGGUAGGACUGAGCCAGGUCUAAGAUUAGCAGUGUCCCAGCUCCUCAGGUUCCUGCACAUUGACUCACAACGGAAUCAAAACUCGGGAGCUCAACUCUCUGGUUUCUUCUGCUUUCUCUUCUGCAAUUUUCUUUCUUUUUUUUUUUUUUAACUUUAUUUUACUGGCAACCAUGAAAGAGAUAUUUACAGCAAGACUCAGAGCAAGGUCAGAGACCCCUAAACAGGUGGUUUUCCCUUAACUUAUCAGGCUGGAGCAGAGUUUAAACCAAACUAGAGGAAUCCCUCUAGCUCUGGGCACAAUGUAAUCUCUACAUCCUGGCCUUCAUCGCAUUGGCUGGAAGCUGGUUGGCUUCAUCCAAGGGCCUACUUCGAGGGGAUUCAUGCCUCUGCAAGUUUGAGCAUCCCUCACUCCUGGCGCUGGCGGUGCCACUCAGCCACGGACUGGAGCAUCCACUUGGUCUGGAGCUUGUACAAAUAGUAGCCAUAAACCACGACUUUGGUGAGGUCUGAAGACUCCAGAGGCUUCAGCUCGAGCAUGGCCUUGCUCACCAGCUCAAUGUAAGGGAUUCCUCCCUCGCCAACCUCCAGAGAGUUAAAGACAUCUCUACCACCCGGUGGAGAAGAAAGCUGACCACUGGUGUGCUUCCAGAAUGCGAGAAGCUCUUGAAGCCCAACAUUCCCUUUCAGUGAUAUUACUGACAUUUUCCCAAAGCUGUGUUCUUCAGAGCUGCACAUGGCAUUGUUAACAACUAUUUCUUAAAAACAUUUCUUUUAGAGACGGGAUUUUGCCAUGUUGGCAGGUUGGUCUCAAACUUUUGGGCUCAAGAGAUCCACCCUCCUCAGCUUCCCAAAGUGCUGGGAUUAACAGGCCUGAGCACUGCGCAACAACUAUUGAAACCCUUGUGAGUUAAUUGGAUAAUUUUGCCUUUUUCUAAACCUUUGAGUUGAGACUCCUUUAUCACUCUCAUUUCCAGCACCUCAGUCUUCCUUUUUCCUUCCCAUCACC